rnacentral:rRNA from 1 species
AAUAUUACCUUGUUCAGAACUUAAAGAGAAAUCUUGAGUUUAUGGACUUCAGGGGGAGUAUGGUCACAAGGCUGAAACUUAAAGGAAUUGACGGAAGGGCACACCAGGAGUGGAGCCUGCGGCUUAAUUUGACUCAACACGGGAAAACUUACCAAGACCGAACAGUAGAAGGAAUGACAGAUUAAGAGUUCUUUCAUGAUUUAUUGGGUAGUGGUGCAUGGCCGUUCUUAGUUGGUGGAGUGAUUUGUCAGGUUAAUUCCGGUAACGAACGAGACUGAAACCUAUUAAUUAGUUUUCUGCCUAUAAGACAGAAAUGUUCGCAAGAACAGGUGCGUAAGUACCACUUCUUAAAGGGACACAUUUCAAUUGUCCUAUUUUAAUUGUAGUUAUCUAAUUUCGGUUAGACCUCU